GUCCACGCUGUAAACGUUGCAUACUCGGUCUUAGCGAUACACAGUUAGGACCUAAGCGAAAGCAUUAAGUAUGCCACCUGGGGAGUACGAUCGCAAGAUUGAAACUCAAAGGAAUUGACGGGGGCCCGCACAAGCGGAGGAGCAUGUGGUUUAAUUCGAUGAUACGCGAGGAACCUUACCCGGGCUUGAAAGUUAGUGACGAAUUCUGAAAGGAGUUUUUCUAGCAAUAGACACGAAACUAGGUGCUGCAUGGCUGUCGU
rnacentral:rRNA from 1 species